rnacentral:snoRNA from 1 species
AACGAGGCUAGAGUCACGCCUGGACAUUUUCUGUUGUCUUGGUGUGCUAGAGUGCUCGUAGAUUAAAAGUCUUUGCUUAUUCAUUG